UAAAAUGUGUAAUAGUAUAUUUGUGUAAAUUAAUAAAUAAAAAAAAAAUCAAAAAUGAGAACCGAAUCGUUGUUGAGCAUGGAAUUUGCUGCAGCUAGGUUUCCACAAAUUAAUGCAACUAAUCAUUCAAUGAUUGAUGGAGAAAUUUCAAGAUUUCCAAAGCCGCUGAGAACUUUUGCAGCGGUGGCAGCUAUUUUAAUAAUGAUAACAGGUUUAAUGGGUAAUCUGUUAACUAUCGUCGCUCUCUGUAAAUAUCCAAAAGUACGUAAUGUCACGGCAGCAUUUAUCAUCAGUCUCUGUGUGGCUGAUUUUAUAUUCUGCGUGCUAGUAUUACCCUUCGACUCAAUCCGAUUUGUCAACAGUGGUUGGACUGAUGUAAGAUUUUUGUGUGUACUGGUGCCUUUUUUGAGAUAUGGAAACGUCGGUGUCAGCCUUCUUUGUGUCGGUGCAAUAACUGUUAAUCGAUUUAUAAUGAUAUCACAAAACAGCCUUUAUGGCAAAGUGUAUAAAAAACAUUGGAUCGCUGUUAUGAUUGCCUUUUGCUACUUAUUUUCUUAUGGAAUGCAAGUCCCCACUCUAGUUGGAGCUUGGGGAAAGUUUGAUUACGAUUCAAAUUUGGAAACCUGUUCAAUAGUUAAGGAUUCAAAGGGUCGAAGCUCAAAGACGUUCCUAUUUGUUACCGGAUUUAUCAUACCAUGCAUUGUCAUUGUUGGCUGUUAUGCAAAAAUAUUUUGGGUUGUUCACAGUUCAGAAUCAAGAAUGCGUAAGCACGCGAGUCCAACGAUAAAGUCUCCUCAUACCCCGGGACGGGACACAAGGGAGAUAAAGCAAAAACGAAGCGAAUGGAGGAUAACCAAAAUGGUAUUAGCUAUUUUCUUGAGCUUCGUUGCUUGCUAUUUACCAAUUACCAUCGUUAAAGUCACCGACCCAGAAGUUAGAUAUCCAGGACUCCACGUUAUGGGAUACUUAUUGUUAUACUUUGCAUCAUGUGUUAAUCCAAUCAUCUACGUGAUAAUGAACAAACAAUACCGACAAGCGUACGCUGGUGUGAUAAGCUGCUCUAAGAUCCGCGCGAGUUUGACACCCCACGGGAGCAGCAAUCCAGGACAAAAUAAUUAUGGCCAAGGACUGCCAGAUGCGAGCUAGAUAAAUAGCUCAGUUACUCUUUACUUCUAACGCGGAUCUACUGUAGCAUGUUUUUAAAUGGAGAAUGAGCUAGACUAUUCCAAGGACUAUAGCAAGACUAUGGUGUCAACGGUAUCUAUGGCGAUGAAUCCUGUUGUAAGAAAAUCCGAACUUCCAGAUGAUUAUCUCUAAUAUUAAAAUU